UAGUCCACGCCGUAAACGAUGGUUACUAGCUGUUGGGCCGAUUGGGGCUCAGUGGCCAAGCGAAAGUGAUAAGUAACCCACCUGGGGAGUACGUUCGUAAGAAUGAAACUCAAAGGAAUUGACGGGGGCCCGCACAAGCGGUGGAGCAUGUGGUUUAAUUCGAUGAUACGCGAGGAACCUUACCAGGGCUUAAAUGUAGAUUGACAGGUUUAGAGAUAGACUUUUCUUCGGACAGAUUACAAGGUGCUGCAUGGUUGUCGUCAGCUCGUGCCGUGAGGUGUCAGGUUAAGUCCUAUAACGAGCGCAACCCCUGUUGUUAGUUGCCAUCGAGUAAUGUCGGGAACUCUAACAAGACUGCCGGUGCAAACCGUGAGGAAGGUGGGGAUGACGUCAAAUCAUCACGGCCCUUACGUCCUGGGCCACACACGUGCUACAAUGGUAGGUACAGAGAGCAGCCACGUCGCGAGGCGGAGCGAAUCUAUAAAACCUAUCUCAGUUCGGAUCGGAGUCUGC
rnacentral:rRNA from 1 species